rnacentral:rRNA from 1 species
AUUGAACGCUGGCGGCAGGCCUAACACAUGCAAGUCGAGCGGAGCGGCGGACGGGUGAGUAAUGUCUGGGAAACUGCCGGAGGGAGGGGGAUAACGACUGGAAACGGUAGCUAAUACCGCAUACUAUCAGAUGAGCCUAGGUCGGAUUAGGUAGUGGGUGGGGUAAAGGCCUACCAAGGCGACGAUCCGUAACUGGUCUGAGAGGAUGAUCAGUCACACUGGAACGGAUACACGGUCCAGACUCCUACGGGAGGCAGCAGUGGGGAAUAUUUGACAAUGGGCGAAAGCCUGAUCCAGCCAUGCCGCGUGUGUGAAUAAGGUCUUCGGAUUGUAAAGCACUGUAAGUUGGGAGGCGUUACCAACAGAAUAAGCACCGGCUAACUUCGUGCCAGCAGCCGCGGUAAUAC